AGUAGCGGACGGGUGAGUAAUGCAUGAGAAGCUGCCAUUGGGAGGGGGACAACAGUUGGAAACGGCUGCUAAUACCCCGUAUGCCGGAAGGUGAAAGGGAGCGAUCCGCCCGAUGAGGUGCUCAUGUCCUAUCAGCUGGUUGGUGGGGUAACGGCCUACCAAGGCGGCGACGGGUAGCCGGCCUGAGAGGGUGAACGGCCACACUGGAACUGAGAUACGGUCCAGACUCCUACGGGAGGCAGCAGUGGGGAAUAUUGGGCAAUGGGGGAAACCCUGACCCAGCGACGCCGCGUGAGGGAAGACGGCCUUCGGGUUGUAAACCUCUUUUGUACGGGAAGAAGGAAGUGACGGUACUGUACGAAUAAGUCCCGGCUAACUACGUGCCAGCAGCCGCGGUAAUACGUAGGGGACGAGCGUUGUCCGGAAUUACUGGGCGUAAAGGGCGCGCAGGCUGUGCUGCAAGUCAGCU
rnacentral:rRNA from 1 species